CCUACGGGGGGCAGCAGUGGGGAAUAUUGGGCAAUGGGCGCAAGCCUGACCCAGCAACGCCGCGUGAAGGAAGAAGGCUUUCGGGUUGUAAACUUCUUUUAAGGGGGAAGAGCAGAAGACGGUACCCCUUGAAUAAGCCACGGCUAACUACGUGCCAGCAGCAGCGGUAAUACGGAGGUGGCAAGCGUUGUCCGGAUUUACUGGGUGUAAAGGGCGUGCAGCCGGAGAGACAAGUCAGAGGUGAAAUCCACGGGCUCAACCCGUGAACUGCAUUUGAAACUGGUUCCCUUGAGUGUCGGAGAGGUAAUCGGAAUUCCGUGUUGAGCGGUGAAAUGCGUAGAUAUAAGGAAGAACACCAGUGGCGAAGGCGGAUUACUGGACGAUAACUGACGGUGAGGCGCGAAAGCGUGGGGAGCAAACAGGAUUAGAUACCCUUGUAGUC
rnacentral:rRNA from 1 species